rnacentral:rRNA from 1 species
UACAGAGGGGGCAAGCGUUGUUCGGAAUUACUGGGCGUAAAGGGCGCGCAGGCGGCUGCUCAAGUCAGGCGUGAAAGGCCUGGGCUCAACCCGGGAAUUGCGCUUGAGACUGGGCUGGCUUGAGUGCGGGAGAGGAUGGUGGAAUUCCCAGUGUAGAGGUGAAAUUCGUAGAUAUUGGGAAGAACACCGGUGGCGAAGGCGGCCAUCUGGACCGCAACUGACGCUGAGGCGCGGAAAGCGUGGGGAGCAAACAGGG